AUCCUUUUCCAGCUCAAUAUGCUAGAGGGUUUUCAUGGGCUUGCAUGACAUGUGCCACCCUCAGUCCUUGUUACAACAUAGACCUAGUUAUCUGUUUGAUG